AAUACAUCCCCUUGAAGCAAUGAACACAACCCAAAUGGCCAAUGCUUGCAUUUUGAGCUCAACUUUCAAUUCUGAAAUUUGAGCACCUGAGCAACAAAACAUGAAAACUGGCCAAAUUUGGACUUUUGUGGAAUUUGGUUAGUUCUCUACUCCAGCCUUUCAUAUCAUUGACCCCCAUGUUGUUGAUGGUGACAUGUCAACAUUAAAACAAAAUUAAGAAAAGCUCUUCUCAUGUUGCGUUUUUGAGGACCUUAGAGUGAUCACCGUUUGAAUCAUGCUCAAAGUAUUGAAUCAUGCUCAAAACACAGGAGCAGUCAAUUACAACAUUCCUAGAGUGUACAUGUUGAGACAUGGGGAGGGAUGUCUGUCCAGCCAGCAGGUAAACUUCCUGGGACAGACUUCCUCCGCUUGUGACCAGAGGUGGGUGUGGCCUCACCUGUGCAGCUAAUGAUAAAAGCACAGGGCAGCAGAGCCAUCUCUCUCUCUUGCUCUCUUGCUCUCUUGCCUCUCUGCCAUCUUCCUUCGAAGAAGCAACAUCUAAGGAUGCCCUCGGCUCCCAGCCAAGAGAGCAGAAAGGGACUAUCUUCCUAUAAGAUAGAUUCUAAAUGUAUUUUACCUUUUUUAAGCCUGUCUGCCUUCUGAGAUCCUAUUGUGAACAGAACGACAUGCUGUGGGACAGCUGGCUUCAGGCACCAGGCCCCUUGGCAGACCAACACCAUGUUACAAAGAUGUUCUGGAAGCUGGCAGCAUCAACCCCACCAUGUGGGAAUCCCUUGCACAUGACUGCAGUGCCUGGAGACAAACAGGCAUCUAUAACAUCUAUUUCAGUGACCAGAGGACGGAUGACCGCUGGGAGGAGCACAGAGAGAAAAAAUGCCAUGGUGCAUCUGCAGUGGCUCAACUGGAUGCCUUCCUCUGCCCCAGCUGCAACAAAACAUGUCUCUCCCACAUCGGUCUCUACAGCCACAGCAGAUCUUGUAACCUUCCAGCAGUUUGACUUUACCCCCAGAGGUGCACUCCUCCAUUGUCUCCUGAAACAGAGAGAUGCUAACCAUUCCUAUUAGCUGUUUUGGGCAAUUUUAACAGAAAGGUGGGAUAUAAAACAAAGGAACAAACCAAAUCAAAUAUCUUUAAUACGGUCAAUGACCAGCAAGCAAUUUAUGAAAUAAAAUAUGACAUUAUAAGUAAUAUUGUGCUACAGGUAACAGUGGAAAUAUGGCCAAAUCACAGAAUUGGUGCUUAUGUUUAUGACCAGGUUUCGACUUUUAAGGUUUUAAGGAUUCAAUUCAAAUGUCACUACUGUUUAUUAUCGUUCCUUCGAUGUUUACAAUUUGGACUCCAUUGCUGACAUCAUUGCUCGUCUUAUUCUUGUUGCAAUGUAGCAGUACUUUGCCACUGGCCUGUUGAUUUCGGGCUCUUUGUCAGCUAAGAGGUGUCUGAUAUAGGUGUCGUCUGUACUACGAGGUAUUUUCCUCAGAAUCGGCUCGAUCAGUUCUUUUCUUGAGUCUCGAUAUAAUAGGCAAUAUAAUAUGACAUGCCCGAUGGUUUCGAUUUCGUUGUUGUUACAGGGACAUAAUCUUUGUUCGAUCGGUAUUUUGUUAUAUCUUCCCUCUAGAAGAGCUGAAGGGAGAGCAUUAAAGCGGGCCCUGGAAAAUGCCCAUCGGUGUUUAGCGUUCUGUAGAACUUUGAGAUAGUUUGCUAGAUGGGGCCUUUGGGAAUUGAAUAGGAGUUUAUGAUUAAAGGAAGUUGAU
ensembl:lncRNA